CAAUAGCGUAUAUUAAAGUUGUUGCAGUUAAAAAGCUCGUAGUUGGAUUUCUGGACGGUGCAGCCGGUCCGCUCCCAUCGUGGAGUGUGCACUUGUGCUGCCACUGUCCAUCCUGGCGGGGACCUCGCUUGGCAUUCAGUUGUUGAGCGGCGGAAUCUGCCUCAUUUACUGUGAAAAAAUUAGAGUGUUUAAAGCAGGCAUCUGCUCUGAAUACAUUAGCAUGGAAUAAUAAGAUAGGACUUUGGUGCUAUUUUGUUGGUUGUACACCGAGGUAAUGAUUAAUAGGGAUAGUUGGGGGUAUUCAUAUUUCAUUGUCAGAGGUGAAAUUCUUGGAUUUAUGAAAGAUGAACUACUGCGAAAGCAUUUACCAAGGAUGUUUNCAUUA
rnacentral:rRNA from 1 species